CCAAAACCACCAUUCAAGCUUACUUAAUGCCUGUGCAGACAUUCACCCAGGAUGUGGUGAUGCUUUAUUGACAGAUCCUUGAAUGAAGACAAUGUAUGUAAUUCUGUCACCAGUCUAUGCCUGGAAUCUCAGUAGGACUGUCAGGUGUUGCCUUAUGAAAUGAAGGAUCAGACUAUGAAAUCUGUAUCUUUGCAAGGUUCUUUCUUUUCCCUGCAGUAUUGCCAGAGCAUAAUCAGCAGAUACUCAGUGGGUUAGAUAAAGAGGUCUAUCUGACAAGUAUUUCCUUCAUAAUCCCUUGCUCGUGUCUAAUUGAAUCUGCAGUAUUUUGUCCACGGCUCUGAUUUGGUAUUACUGUACCAUGACUAUACAUCAUGAAGCUGGUGAUGGAUUUGGCAAGAGAGACUACUCAUGCCACGUUGUUCAGCUGCACUGUGGAAUGUUGAAGUCAUGGACUGUAUGGGACCCCAUUAAUGGAAAAAGCACAGCGGACACAUGGUACACCUUCCCAAUUUUCUCUAUGUAAAGCCUUCCUCUGAUUUAAAAAAACUGGUUUCGGUAUGACAGUAUCUACAACAGAGAAUACAUAUGGUUUUCUUACCAUGUUUAUAUGUCAGUGUCAAAUAAAUCUCCUUUUGAGAUGAGGAACUACAAAUUGUAUUAAAUACUGGUUAAAGUCCUCAGAAGAGCAUUUGAUUACAAAUACUAGCAUCAGCUUGUCAUUACUGCCUUCUGUAUUUACAGAUGACUCUGCAGAUUUGCCCAUUCACUCUGAAAAUCCGUUGUAGUUGUAAGGUCUUCAAAAGAGAUACAAAUAAAUGCAGCAAACUUUUCAUUGUGUAUUUAUGACAAUGCUAUUUUUAAGUAGCUAUUUUUUAGCUAAUGGCUUGAUUCCUAAUUUUUACAUCUGAGUAUUCUUUUACUGUUUUCCUGCUGUGGGAUCUUAUACUGUCAGUUUUAUUUUAUUUUUAAUUUUUAGGCCUGUAGAGGUUCUUUCUUUUUCUAUCUGUGGAAAUACAUGUUCCAACGUAACUCAUUAAGAGAUUUCUUUAGUUACUUUAUUAGAAUCCAUGCUGUGGGGAAGUGUUUUAAUAAAUUGUAUUUCUGAAGAUUGUCACUUUUUUGAUCUUGUUGAAACUGCAAGCAUGAUGAAGGUGCUUAAUAUUUAAUGCAUCUGACAAUUCCAGACAAAGAUGGGAGGGAACUCUCUGCUCUUGUUGUGAACUAAUGGUGGCUCCUGAAACCUCUUCAGGGCUGAUGAACAGGCUAUGGUUGAUGAUAAAACACUGCAGAGAGACCUGAACGAGGAGUAGUGUAUUAAACUUAAAAUUGUAGGUUGACUCGAAAUAAUCCCAAAAGAGGAGAUUUGCGGGUUUGUUUGGAACUGUGCUGAGACUGAUCCUACAAGAAAAAUAGCCUCUUAAGUACCUUGUGUUAAAUCUGGGAUUGGGCUUCAGACUCUACUGGAAACUUGACUCCCAGAUACUUAUUUGGGUUUAGUUGGAGAUUAACUGAGAAAUGAGUUAUUCGCCUGAAUAUGGGAUAAACACCUGUCAUACAUAUCCAUACCACGCUGCUUCACUUGUUUUCUAAUGUUGUUUUAUUAACCAAUGCAUUUGUCCUUGCAAGACGGCUCUGUCCCCAGCAAGUACAAUUAUUCCUCUGGAAUAGUGGCCAAGCACAAUGACCAAGACCAUAGCAGAGCAGAACAAUAAAUCAGUUAUUUCAACAGUUUUACUUAUUUAUUUUCUGCCUGUUGGUAUGUUGCCAUGGAAUUGCAUUGGAUGGAAUGCCAAGGUGUGUGUGCCAGUUCCUUUAUAGUACCUUUAUUUAUUAUUAUUUUUUUAAGUUUCAGGCAAGUGUCUUUACUGAAUAUCCAGUAUUGUUGAAUCCACAUUUUUGUCUGAUCAAAUCUCUACCUUUUCCUCUGCGAUCCUGAGCAUAACUGAUUUUUGUCUCUGGGAGCUGCCUGUACUGUGCCUUGCUAAUAUUACAGUCUUACAAUCCUAUUUCUGUUAUGCGGGGACAAAGCUUGGCACUUGAAAUCACUUUUUCUUAUUUAAUUUUGUAUGUGGGAGUUUCAGUAUAUUUCCCUGGUGAAUUGUGUUUUAUUGUUGUUGUUGUUAUUGUUUUGUUUGUUUUUUUGUUACACUGUAAUCAAAAUACCACAUUAAAGGGGUAAGAUGCAGAAGUAUGGCAAAAAGUCUAAUGAG